rnacentral:rRNA from 1 species
AACGCGAAGAACCUUACCUGGGCUCGAAAUGUACAGGAAUCCGGUGGAAACAUCGGCGUCCCGCAAGGGACCUGUAUAUAGGUGCUGCAUGGCUGUCGUCAGCUCGUGUCGUGAGAUGUUGGGUUAAGUCCCGCAACGAGCGCAACCCUUACCUCCAGUUGCUACCAUUUAGUUGAGCACUCUGGCGGAACCGCCUCGGAUAACGGGGAGGAAGGUGGGGAUGACGUCAAGUCCUCAUGGCCUUUAUGUCCAGGGCUACACACGUGCUACAAUGGUCGGUACAAACCGUCGCAAACCCGUGAGGGGGAGCUAAUCGGAAAAAGCCGACCUCAGUUCGGAUCGUAGUCUGCAACUCGACUACGUGAAGCUGGAAUCGCUAGUAAUCGCGGAUCAGAAUGCCGCGGUGAAUACGUUCCCGGGCCUUGUACACACCGGCUAC